ACUCCCUGUUUCAUUGUUUGGCUAACUUUUUUCAAUUGUUAUUGGGAUCUCUCAUGGUUUGUUAAAUUAAAUUACCUUUUCUGCUUAUUUCCUCAUUAGUUAUGAGCUGGAAAGCCGAAAGCCCUUGAACGAUGUCCUCCCCUGCUAAGUUCUGCUGCGGCCAAGUUCUCGAAGAAAGAUCUCACUAUCUCAGGCCCUCCGCAUAAUUACUUUUACCGGGUUUCUUUAUGCUAAAUACAAGAGCAGUAUGGAUUUUCACUUAGGGUGGACAGUCUCAAUUUCUCUGAAUAGGGUAAACAUAUUCUUUACGUGCCUUUUAAACAAGCAUCUGGUCAUUCAACUACAUGUCAAGUUUUCACUUAGGGUGGACGGUCUACUUUCUGGAUGCGUCAUCCUCAGCUGAUUUUUUGGAGCGAUGAAUAAUUGCGAUGAUAAAUUUGUUCCAGAGACCAGUUUCUGAAGAGAAAACUAACAAAGGAAUGGAAUUGAUCGAAUGAUGCACACAAGCAGCUUGGGAGAAGGAAGCAUGUUGAACUUCAAAUUUUCUGAUGGAGUUCAGAGUUCUUUAAAAAAGGAUCGCAGUAACUUAAUUCCUCUCUGAGAGCAAAGAGCAUUAGAGUUAGCAGACUCUGAGGAUCUACGAACUUCUGUGUACAGUAAGAUCAUAUUUCAAACAAAUCUAUGAUUGGAGUUUGUCGUCA